rnacentral:misc_RNA from 1 species
GUGAAUCAUCAAAUCUUUGAACGCAAAUUGCACUCCCUGGUAUUCCGGGGAGUGUGCCUGUUUGAGGGUCGUCAGAAUAAAAAAUCGAGGCGUCGCUCUUUUUUUUAAGGGUGAUCGCGUCGGAAUCGAGCCGUCUUUCAAAUGUUAAUUCAUGUCAAAGUGGCUUGAAAUUCAUCCAUCCGGUAUGUUUAAAGCGUAUUUGAGAUCAAGCUUGAUUAAGAACGCGCGAGGACGGACCAUCUCAUGUAGUACGUUUGACUUGGCGUUGUCA